ACGGGUGAGUAACGCGUGGGAAUCUACCCAUCCCUACGGAAUAACGCAUGGAAACGUGUGCUAAUACCGUAUACGCCCUACGGGGGAAAGAUUUAUCGGGGAUGGAUGAGCCCGCGUUGGAUUAGCUAGUUGGUGGGGUAAGGGCCUACCAAGGCGACGAUCCAUAGCUGGUCUGAGAGGAUGAUCAGCCACAUUGGGACUGAGACACGGCCCAAACUCCUACGGGAGGCAGCAGUGGGGAAUAUUGGACAAUGGGCGCAAGCCUGAUCCAGCCAUGCCGCGUGAGUGAUGAAGGCCUUAGGGUUGUAAAGCUCUUUCACCGGAGAAGAUAAUGACGGUAUCCGGAGAAGAAGCCCCGGCUAACUUCGUGCCAGCAGCCGCGGUAAUACGAAGGGGGCUAGCGUUGUUCGGAAUUACUGGGCGUAAAGCGCACGUAGGCGGACUUUUAAGUCAGGGGUGAAAUCCCGGGGCUCAACCUCGGAACUGCCUUUGAUACUGGAAGUCUGGAGUAUGGAAGAGGUGAGUGGAAUUCCGAGUGUAGAGGUGAAAUUCGUAGA
rnacentral:rRNA from 1 species